rnacentral:rRNA from 1 species
CGGUAAUACGGAGGGUGCAAGCGUUACUCGGAAUCACUGGGCGUAAAGCGCGCGCAGGCGGUCUAUUAAGUUGGAUGUGAAAGCCUACGGCUCAACCGUAGAACUGCAUCCAAAACUAUUAGACUAGAGUGUGGGAGAGGAAGAUGGAAUUAGUUGUGUAGGGGUAAAAUCCGUAGAGAUAACUAGGAAUACCAAAAGCGAAGGCAAUCUUCUGGAACACUACUGACGCUGAGGCGCGAAAGCGUGGGGAGCAAACAGGAUUAGAUACCCUGGUAGUCCACGCAGUAAACGAUGAAUGUUAGUCGUCGGGGGCCUAGUGUCUUCGGUGAUGCAGCUAACGCAUUAAACAUUCCGCCUGGGGAGUACGGUCGCAAGAUUAAAACUCAAAGGAAUAGACGGGGACCCGCACAAGUGGUGGAGCAUGUGGUUUAAUUCGAAGAUACGCGAAGAACCUUACCUAGCCUUGACAUAUUUGAAAAUCCACCAGAGAUGGAGGAGUGCCUUCGGGAGUUCAUAUACAGGUGCUGCACGGCUGUCGUCAGCUCGUGUCGUGAGAUGUUGGGUUAAGUCCCGCAACGAGCGCAACCCUCGUCACUAGUUACUAACGAUUCGGUCGAGGACUCUAGUGAGACUGCCUUCGCAAGAAGGAGGAAGGUGAGGACGACGUCAAGUCAUCAUGGCCCUUACGGCUAGGGCAACACACGUGCUACAAUGGCCAGGACAGUGAGAAGCGAUACCGCGAGGUGGAGCAAAUCUAUAAACCUGGUCUCAGUUCGGAUUGUAGUCUGCAACUCGACUACAUGAAGCUGGAAUCACUAGUAAUCGUAGAUCAGCUAUGCUACGGUGAAUACGUUCCCGGG